rnacentral:rRNA from 1 species
GAUGAACGCUGGCGGCGUGCCUAAUACAUGCCAGUCGAGCGAACAGACGAGGAGCUUGCUCCUCUGACGUUAGCGGCGGACGGGUGAGUAACACGUGGAUAACCUACCUAUAAGACUGGGAUAACUUCGGGAAACCGGAGCUAAUACCGGAUAAUAUAUUGAACCGCAUGGUUCAAUAGUGAAAGACGGUUUUGCUGUCACUUAUAGAUGGAUCCGCGCCGCAUUAGCUAGUUGGUAAGGUAACGGCUUACCAAGGCGACGAUGCGUAGCCGACCUGAGAGGGUGAUCGGCCACACUGGAACUGAGACACGGUCCAGACUCCUACGGGAGGCAGCAGUAGGGAAUCUUCCGCAAUGGGCGAAAGCCUGACGGAUCAACGCCGCGUGAGUGAUGAAGGUCUUCGGAUCGUAAAACUCUGUUAUUAGGGAAGAACAAAUGUGUAAGUAACUAUGCACGUCUUGACGGUACCUAAUCAGAAAGCCACGGCUAACUACGUG